rnacentral:rRNA from 1 species
GUGACCUCAGAUCAGGUAGGGAUACCCGCUGAACUUAA